UACGUAGGGUGCAGGCGUUAAUCGGAAUUACUGGGCGUAAAGCGUGCGCAGGCGGUCUGCUAAGAGAGGUGUGAAAUCCCCGGGCUUAACCUGGGAACUGCGCUUCUAACUGGCAGGCUAGAGUGUGGCAGAGGGGGGUGGAAUUCCACGUGUAGCAGUGAAAUGCGUAGAGAUGUGGAGGAACACCGAUGGCGAAGGCAGCCCCCUGGGCUAACACUGACGCUCAUGCACGAAAGCGUGGGUAGCAAACAGG
rnacentral:rRNA from 1 species